AGAGCGAACGCUGGCGGCAGGCCUAAUACAUGCAAGUCGAACGGAUCCUUCGGGAUUAGUGGCGGACGGGUGAGUAACACGUGGGAACGUGCCCUUUGGUUCGGAACAACUCAGGGAAACUUGAGCUAAUACCGAAUGUGCCCUUCGGGGGAAAGAUUUAUCGCCAUUGGAGCGGCCCGCGUCUGAUUAGCUAGUUGGUGGGGUAAAGGCCCACCAAGGCGACGAUCAGUAGCUGGUCUGAGAGGAUGAUCAGCCACACUGGGACUGAGACACGGCCCAGACUCCUACGGGAGGCAGCAGUAGGGAAUCUUGCGCAAUGGGCGAAAGCCUGACGCAGCCAUGCCGCGUGAAUGAUGAAGGUCUUAGGAUUAUAAAAUUCUUUCAGCGGGGACGAUAAUGACGGUACCCGCAGAAGAAGCCCCGGCUAACUUCGUGCCAGCAGCCGC
rnacentral:rRNA from 1 species